CCUACGGGAGGCAGCAGUGAGGAAUAUUGGUCAAUGGACGAGAGUCUGAACCAGCCAAGUCGCGUGAAGGAUUACUGCCCUAUGGGUUGUAAACUUCUUUUAUAUGGGAAUAAAACGUUCCACGUGUGGGAUGUUGUAUGUACCAUAUGAAUAAGGAUCGGCUAACUCCGUGCCAGCAGCCGCGGUAAUACGGAGGAUCCGAGCGUUAUCCGGAUUUAUUGGGUUUAAAGGGAGCGUAGGUGGGUUUUUAAGUCAGUUGUGAAAGUUUGCGGCUCAACCGUAAAAUUGCAGUUGAAACUGGCAGUCUUGAGUUCAGUAGAGGUGGGCGGAAUUCGUGGUGUAGCGGUGAAAUGCUUAGAUAUCACGAAGAACUCCGAUUGCGAAGGCAGUUCACUGGACUGCAACUGACACUGAGGCUCGAAAGUGUGGGUAUCAAACAGGAUUAGAUACCCCUGUAGUC
rnacentral:rRNA from 1 species